AUGAACGCUGGCGGCGUGCCUAAUACAUGCAAGUCGAACGAGUUCUCGUUGAUGAUCGGUGCUUGCACCGAGAUUCAACAUGGAACGAGUGGCGGACGGGUGAGUAACACGUGGGUAACCUGCCCUUAAGUGGGGGAUAACAUUUGGAAACAGAUGCUAAUACCGCAUAGAUCCAAGAACCGCAUGGUUCUUGGCUGAAAGAUGGCGUAAGCUAUCGCUUUUGGAUGGACCCGCGGCGUAUUAGCUAGUUGGUGAGGUAAUGGCUCACCAAGGCAAUGAUGCAUAGCCGAGCUGAGAGGCUGAUCGGCCACAUUGGGACUGAGACACGGCCCAGACUCCUACGGGAGGCAGCAGUAGGGAAUCUUCCACAAUGGGCGCAAGCCUGAUGGAGCAACGCCGCGUGAGUGAAG
rnacentral:rRNA from 1 species